rnacentral:rRNA from 1 species
AAAAAAGGUAAGCUACUAAGAGCGAAUGGUGGAUGCCUUGACUGGUAAAGGCGAUGAAGGACGUACUAGACUGCGAUAAGCUACGGGGAGCUGUCAAGAAGCUUUGAUCCGUAGAUUUCCGAAUGGGGCAACCCAAUGUAUAGAGAUAUACAUUACCUAUAUAGGAGCGAACGAGGGGAAUUGAAACAUCUUAGUACCCUCAGGAAAAGAAAUCAAUAGAGAUUGCGUCAGUAGCGGCGAGCGAAAGCGCAAGAGGGCAAACCCAGUGCUUGCACUGGGGGUUGUAGGACUGCAAUGUGCAAGAGGUGAGUUUAGCAGAACAUUCUGGAAAGUAUAGCCAUAGAGGGUGAUAGUCCCGUAUGCGAAAAACAAACCUUAGCUAGCAGUAUCCUGAGUAGGGCGGGACACGAGAAAUCCUGUCUGAAGCUGGGUCGACCACGAUCCAACCCUAAAUACUAAUACCAGAUCGAUAGUGCACAAGUACCGUGAGGGAAAGGUGAAAAGAACUGAGGUGAUCAGAGUGAAAUAGAACCUGAAACCAUUUGCUUACAAUCAUUCAGAGCACUAUGUAGCAAUACAGUGUGAUGGACUGCCUUUUGCAUAAUGAGCCUGCGAGUUGUGGUGUCUGGCAAGGUUAAGCAAACGCGAAGCCGUAGCGAAAGCGAGUCUGAAUAGGGCGCUUAGUCAGAUGCUGCAGACCCGAAACGAAGUGAUCUAUCCAUGAGCAAGUUGAAGCUAGUGUAAGAACUAGUGGAGGACUGAACCCAUAGGCGUUGAAAAGCCCCGGGAUGACUUGUGGAUAGGGGUGAAAGGCCAAUCAAACUUCGUGAUAGCUGGUUCUCUCCGAAAUAUAUUUAGGUAUAGCGUUGUGUCGUAAUAUAAGGGGGUAGAGCACUGAAUGGGCUAGGGCAUACACCAAUGUACCAAACCCUAUCAAACUCCGAAUACCUUAUAUGUAAUCACAGCAGUCAGGCGGCGAGUGAUAAAAUCCGUCGUCAAGAGGGAAACAACCCAGACUACCAGCUAAGGUCCCUAAAUCUUACUUAAGUGGAAAACGAUGUGAAGUUACUUAAACAACCAGGAGGUUGGCUUAGAAGCAGCCAUCCUUUAAAGAAAGCGUAAUAGCUCACUGGUCUAGUGAUUUUGCGCGGAAAAUAUAACGGGGCUAAAGUAAGUACCGAAGCUGUAGACUUGACUUUGUCAAGUGGUAGGAGAGCGUUCUAUUUGCGUCGAAGGUAUACCGGUAAGGAGUGCUGGAGCGAAUAGAAGUGAGCAUGCAGGCAUGAGUAGCGAUAAUUAAUGUGAGAAUCAUUAACGCCGUAAACCCAAGGUUUCCUACGCGAUGCUCGUCAUCGUAGGGUUAGUCGGGUCCUAAGUCGAGUCCGAAAGGGGUAGACGAUGGCAAAUUGGUUAAUAUUCCAAUACCAACAUUAGUGUGCGAUGGAAGGACGCUUAGGGCUAAGGGGGCUAGCGGAUGGAAGUGCUAGUCUAAGGUCGUAGGUGCUUAUACAGGCAAAUCCGUAUAAGAAUACACCGAGAACUGAAAGGCUUUUUGAAGUCUUCGGAUGGAUAGAAGAACCCCUGAUGCCGUCGAGCCAAGAAAAGUUUCUAAGUUUAGCUAAUGUUGCCCGUACCGUAAACCGACACAGGUGGGUGGGAUGAGUAUUCUAAGGCGCGUGGAAGAACUCUCUUUAAGGAACUCUGCAAAAUAGCACCGUAUCUUCGGUAUAAGGUGUGGUUCGCUUCGUAUUAGGAUUUACUCCGAAAGCGAAGAAACUUACAACAAAGAGUCCCUCCCGACUGUUUACCAAAAACACAGCACUCUGCUAACUCGUAAGAGGAUGUAUAGGGUGUGACGCCUGCCCGGUGCUCGAAGGUUAAUUGAUGGGGUUAGCAUUAGCGAAGCUCUUGAUCGAAGCCCGAGUAAACGGCGGCCGUAACUAUAACGGUCCUAAGGUAGCGAAAUUCCUUGUCGGUUAAAUACCGACCUGCAUGAAUGGCGUAACGAGAUGGGAGCUGUCUCAAAGAGGGAUCCAGUGAAAUUGUAGUGGAGGUGAAAAUUCCUCCUACCCGCGGCAAGACGGAAAGACCCCGUGGACCUUUACUACAGCUUGACACUGCUAUUUGGAUAAGAAUGUGCAGGAUAGGUGGGAGGCUUUGAGUAUAUGACGCUAGUUGUAUAUGAGCCAUUGUUGAGAUACCACUCUUUCUUAUUUGGGUAGCUAACCAGCUUGAGUUAUCCUCAAGUGGGACAAUGUCUGGUGGGUAGUUUGACUGGGGCGGUCGCCUCCCAAAUAAUAACGGAGGCUUACAAAGGUUGGCUCAGAACGGUUGGAAAUCGUUCGUAGAGUAUAAAGGUAUAAGCCAGCUUAACUGCAAGACAUACAAGUCAAGCAGAGACGAAAGUCGGUCUUAGUGAUCCGGUGGUUCUGUGUGGAAGGGCCAUCGCUCAAAGGAUAAAAGGUACCCCGGGGAUAACAGGCUGAUCUCCCCCAAGAGCUCACAUCGACGGGGAGGUUUGGCACCUCGAUGUCGGCUCAUCGCAUCCUGGGGCUGGAGCAAGUCCCAAGGGUAUGGCUGUUCGCCAUUUAAAGCGGUACGCGAGCUGGGUUCAGAACGUCGUGAGACAGUUCGGUCCCUAUCUGCCGUGGGCGUAAGAAGAUUGAAGAGAUUUGACCCUAGUACGAGAGGACCGGGUUGAACAAACCACUGGUGUAGCUGUUGUUCUGCCAAGAGCAUCGCAGCGUAGCUAAGUUUGGAAAGGAUAAACGCUGAAAGCAUCUAAGCGUGAAGCCAACUCUAAGAUGAAUCUUCUCUAAGCUCUCUAGAAGACUACUAGUUUGAUAGGCUGGGUGUGUAAUGGAUGAAAGUCCUUUAGCUGACCAGUACUAAUAGAGCGUUUGGCUUAUCUUUAAUAAAGCAU